rnacentral:misc_RNA from 1 species
UCCGGCACUAAACCGGCAGUCCUGGAUGACACUUGUAACAUCCAGCAAGGGUUGCGCUCGUUACCGGACUUAACCGGACAUCUCACGACACGAGCUGACGACAGCCAUGCAGCACCUGUCCAGGCUCCCCGAAGGGUCGGUCCACUUUCGCUUCCCUACCACCUGCAUGUCAAACCCGGGUAAGGUUCUUCGUGUAGCAUCGAAUUAAACCACACGCUCCGCUGCUUGUGCGGGCCCCCGCCAAUUCCUUUGAGUUUUAACCUUGCGGCCGUAGUCCCCAGGCGGUGGACUUAUCGCGUUCGCUCCGGCACGGAUGGCUUUUACCCCACCCACGCCAAGUCCACAUCGUUUACGGCUAGGACUAC